GGUGAAAGAGGAGACGGAGGCGUUGAGGAGAUGUGGAGGUGUUGAGAUAUGGAGGUGUUGAGAUAUGGAGGUGUUGAGGAGAUAUGGAGGUGUUGAGGAGAUAUGGAGAGAGAAUGGAAGAGGAGAUGUUGAGGAACAUGGAAGCGUUGAGGAGAUACGGAGGAGUGGAGGAGAUAUGGAGGUGUUGAGAUAUGGAGGUGUUGAGGAGAUAUGGAGGUGUUGAAGAGAUAUGGAGGUGUUGAGAUAUGGAGGUGUUGAGGAGAUAUGG